rnacentral:rRNA from 1 species
GACGAACGCUGGCGGCGUGCUUAACACAUGCAAGUCGAACGGAAAGGCCUGCUUUCCCUUGUGGAUUGCGGGUACUCGAGUGGCGAACGGGUGAGUAACACGUGAGUGAUCUGCCCCCAACUUGGGUAUAAGCCUGGGAAACUGGGUCUAAUUCCCGAUAGGACUGCAGGGUGGUGCCUGUGGUGGAAAACGAUUUUCUAGUGGUUGGGGAUGAGCUCGCGGCCUAUCAGCUUGUUGGUGGGGUAAUGGCCUACCAAGGCGGCGACGGGUAGCCGGCCUGGGAGGGUGGACGGCCGCAUUGGGACUGAGAUACGGCCCAGACUCCUACGGGAGGCAGCAGUGGGGAAUAUUGCACAAUGGGCGGAAGCCUGAUGCAGCGACGCCGCGUGGGGGAUGACGGCCUUCGGGUUGUAAACUCCUUUCGACCGCGAGGAAGCCACCUGGUUGGAAGGGUGGUGACGGUAGUGGUAGAAGAAGCACCGGCUAACUACGUG